rnacentral:rRNA from 1 species
AACGAACGCUGGCGGCAUGCCUAACACAUGCAAGUCGAACGAAACCUUCCGGUCUAUUGGCGCUCGUGUGCGUAACGCGUGGUAACUUACACUUAGGUUCCGUAUAACUCCCCGUAAGGUGUCCUAAUACCGGUUAAUCUCUUCGGACCUAAGAUUUCUCGCGUUUGGAUGGGCCCGAGUUGGAUUCGCUAGUUGGUAGGGUAAAAGCCUACCAAGGAGAGGAUGCAUAGCUGGUCUGUGAGGAUGACAAGCCACACUGGAGAUGAGACACGGCCCAGACUCGUAGGGGAGGCAGCAGUGGGGAAUAUUGGACAAGGGGGGAAGGCCUGAUAAAGCAAUGCGGGGGGAGAGAUGAAGGCGGUAGGGUUGUAAAGCUCCUUUAGCCGGGAUGAGAAUGACAGUACCGGGUGAAUAAGCACCGGCUAACUCCGUG